UACGGAGGGUGCGAGCGUUGUCCGGAAUCACUGGGCGUAAAGGGCGCGUAGGCGGCCCGAUAAGUAGGGGGUGAAAUCCUGCGGCUUAACCGCAGGGCUGCCUUCUAAACUGUCGGGCUAGAGCACGGUAGAGGCAGAUGGAAUUCCCGGUGUAGCGGUGGAAUGCGUAGAGAUCGGGAAGAACACCAAUUGCGAAGGCAGCUGGCUAAACAGAUAUUGACGCUGAGGCACGAAAGCGUGGGGAUCAAACAGG
rnacentral:rRNA from 1 species